AGUGAACGCUGGCGGUAGGCCUAACACAUGCAAGUCGAACGGCAGCACAGUAAGAGCUUGCUCUUAUGGGUGGCGAGUGGCGGACGGGUGAGGUAUACAUCGGACUCUACUUUUUCGUGGGGGUUCACGUAGGGAAACUUACGCUAAUACCGCAUACGACCUACGGGUGAAAGCAGGGGAUCUUCGGACCUUGCGCGAUUGAAUGCGCCGAUGUCGGAUUAGCUAGUUGGGGGGGUAAAGACCCACCAAGGCGAGGAUCCGUAGCUGGUCUGAGAGGAUGGUCAGCCGCAUUGGAACGGAGACAGCGUCCAGACGCCUACGGGAGGCAGCAGUGGGGAAUAUGGGACAAUGGGCGCAAGCCUGAUCCAGCCAUAGCGCGUGGGUGAAGAAGGCCUUCGGGUUGUAAAGCCCUUUUGUGGGGAAAGAACAGCAGCAGGUUAAUACCCCGCGGUUCUGACGGUACCCAAUGAAUAAGCACCGGCUAACUACGUG
rnacentral:rRNA from 1 species